CAGCAGUGAGGAAGGUGGGGUAUGGUUAAUUAGCAUACUCAUUUGACGUUAGCUGCAGAAGAAAGCACCGGCUAACUCCGUGCCAGCAGCCGCGGUAAUACGGAGGGUGCGAGCGUUAAUCGGAAUUACUGGGCGUAAAGCGCAUGCAGGUGGUUUGUUAAGUUCAGAUGUGAAAGACCCGGGGCGUCAACCUCCGGAAUUGCAUUUGUAAACUAGGCAAACUAAGAGUACUGUAGAGGGGGGUAGGAAGUUUCUAGGUGUAGCGGUGAAAUAGCGUAGAGAUCUGAAGGAAUACCGGUGGCGAAGGCGGCCCCCUCGGACAGAUACUGACACUCAGAUGCGAAAGCGUGGGGAGCAAACAGGAUUAGAUACCCUGGUAG
rnacentral:rRNA from 1 species